UAGGGAAUCUUCCGCAAUGGACGCAAGUCUGACGGAGCAACGCCGCGUGAGUGAAGAAGGAUUUCGGUUCGUAAAACUCUGUUGUUAGAGAAGAACAGCGCAUAGAGUAACUGUUAUGCGUGUGACGGUAUCUAACCAGAAAGCCACGGCUAACUACGUGCCAGCAGCCGCGGUAAUACGUAGGUGGCAAGCGUUGUCCGGAUUUAUUGGGCGUAAAGCGAGCGCAGGCGGUCAAUUAAGUCUGAUGUGAAAGCCCCCGGCUCAACCGGGGAGGGUCAUUGGAAACUGGUUGAAUUGAGUGCAGAAGAGGAGAGUGGAAUUCCAUGUGUAGCGGUGAAAUGCGUAGAUAUAUGGAGGAACACCAGUGGCGAAGGCGACUCUAUGGUCUGUAACUGACGCUGAGGCUCGAAAGCGUGGGUAGCAAACAGG
rnacentral:rRNA from 1 species